UCCCCUUGCACCCAGGGGAAAAAACCCACCAGCUCGGCUCUCUGCCGCUUUCCUGUGUUAAUUCCAUUAAAUAAAUAUAACAAACGGUGACUACAUUUGGACGAUUCCUCCCCACCCCGAAAAAAAACCCAAAAAAGCCCCCAAUCCUCCCCCAGACAAACCAACAGGAAAAACCCCACCAAACAAAAACCCCCGCAGGCACGCCAGCACUGCGUGGCGCUGCGUUCUUUCAGGUUGGGGCUGAGAUCUCCCGGGUUCUCCCAGGGCCGGGCCGGCCCGCGCCGAGCCGGGCGUGCCGCGCCCCGGGCCCGGGCAGCCGCCGGGCGGGCCUGGUGUUUCCAUGGCGGCAGCGGCCGCUGAGGCGGCCCGGCGCCUCCCUCCCACUGCCGGGCCGGAGAGGCGGGAGAGCCCGCCCGGCCCUCACAUCCCCUGCGGAGGCCUCUCCGGCGAGCCGGGAGGGAGAGCUUAAAGAGAAACGGAGACAUGAUGGGGGCAAAUCGUUUUCACCCCAGAGGAUUACGCAAGCUAAGGGAAUGGCCUGUGAGAGAGGCUGAGCGUCUCAGUGCAGCCCUUUCCAAGCCAGUUUUCCCCAUCCUUUGUGGAGCAGCAGCAGCAGCAGCUCGUUUUUUCCAGGGGAAACUCAAGGAAAUCCAUUGCUUCCAAAUGAUUCACUCCUCCAACCUGGCAGCCAGUUUCAAUGCAGUAUUGCGACUUCUUUCUUCCUUUCUGCACAUCAGAUCAAGUAAACCAAAGAGUGUCUGAACUGCUGCAGAGAAAUGUGAAAAAUAUGCUACAGCCUCACAUUACCUGGAGCCCACAGGCUCCUCUCAUCACUUGAAAGCCAGGAAGAGCAGGGCUGUACCCACCCAUGCUAGGGGCACAGUUUUGCCUUUAGAACUCUGUAGUUAAAAUAUAAAUAUGUUUCCUAGAUUCCUCCUUAUGAUAGCAUGAAGAUACCUGAAACUUUGCAGUAUCUAACUGAUACUGGAGUAUUCUGCUGCUUACACUUGGCAAGCCCGUUCAUUACUAGUUCUUCCAAUUUUCAUGCUUUCACAGAGAUUUGGCCCUCUAAUCAGUUUUGUGUUUCUGCUAGUUUUUCAUUACAGCUAUUAUUUUACUUUUGAAGAAAUCACAUAAACUACUUCAGUGCAAAGAUGUCUCAAUGUAAAUCAGUCUCCCUGUUUUUGAGUUUGCAGUUUUGGCAGUAUUGGUUUUCGAAGAGAUCAGAGACUUUCAAGUCUUUAAUAUACAACUGUUAAUUAGAUUCUUCUGCAAUUAAAUCUAAAUAAAGACUUUUUAAACAUAUUUAUCUCUGUUAUG
rnacentral:lncRNA from 1 species